UUUUUUUCAAAAAUGCCCUUACAACUUAGUGGAGCAGAAAUCUACUCGCUAUGAAGUAGAUCCAUGAUGAUCAAUCUCAGGACAAAGAGUAAGUUCGGUUUUGUGCUUGUAACAUGUGAACAAGGCAAUUACGGGCCAGACCUGGAAGAGCAGUAAACAAUGCCUUAGUUUUAGCAUAGAUCAUGAACACAUUCUCAAAAGAGUUGUUGAGUGGGGUGUUUAUGCUUGAAUGCUUAAAUGGUGUGGGCGAAUUUGAUAAAAUUGAUGGAUCGAGAAUCUACCACUUUAAUCGAGACAUUUGUACAAUUCAUCAAGGUAAUUCUUUAGUUUCAGCUUAUUUUACCAAAUUGAGGUUUAUGUGGGAUGAAUUUUAUGCAAUUGUGCCACCACCAUCAUGUAAUAGUGAUAGAUCUAGGUCCUAUGUUGAUCAUAUUCUAUAUUUGUGUCUAUUCUCUUUUCUGAUAGAGCUGAAUGACAUAUAUGGUCAUGCACGAAGCCAAAUACUAAUGAUGAGCCUUUUCCAAGCGUUAGGCAAAACUUAUCCAAUAAUAAUCUCAGAUGAGAGCAAGAGAGUUGCUUCAAACGAGAGCCAUCGAGUUACUUCAGAGAUGCGCACUAGUGAAGAUGUGAUAAGCCACAACAUAUAUGCAAGAAGGGAAAAUUAUUCUAGGGUCAGAAGAGUUGAGUAUAGUUCUAGAGGAAAUGAUGUAAGCAAAGUUGAGUAUAAUCUUGCGAGAGAAAAGAAGAAAGUGAACUGGAAUCUGUUCUAUAACCACUGUAAAAUGUAUUGACUUACACAAAAUAAUUAUUUUCGAUUGAUUGGAUAUCCUGAUGAUUGAAAGUUCAAGAAGAAAUUUCAGGAUAGGGUGGACAAUAAGGGUACAAUAACAAAUUUAGAGGAGUGAAUUCGAGUAAAGGAAAAAAUGUUGCUAACAAUGUGCAAUUGGAUAAGGUUUCUUGUGAUGCAUUUGUGCAAGUCAAUGCAGGAUAAACAUGUGUACAAGAAAAUGCUUGUGAUUUCAAUUAUGUUCGUGCUAACCUGUAAGCCUUUGGUGCACGGCUUGACUACACUUUCAACCAGUACCAAAAGAUAUUGAAGUUGCUUAAUGAGGAGGACAAGACUAAAGAAAUGGUGAACAUGGCAGGACCUCUCCGAUGACGAGGUGAAGAGAAUUUGUUAGGAGAUAGAAGACACAGAUUGUGUGUGUUGUCAUAGAAGGAUUAGCCAUCCUUCUAUCGAAGUGUUGAACAAUUAGCCUUUGGCGAAACAGAGUAGACUUUUUUUUUCCAAUUAGUAUGUCUAAUACAAGUGAUGUUUUUGAUCUUAUUCAUGUUGAUAUAUGGAACCAUAUAGAAUUGCUACAUAUUAUGGUUUUAGAUUCUUUUUGACAAUUGUAGAUGAUAAGGUAAGGAUGAUUGACUACUUUACUAAAAUUCAAGAGUGAUGUGUUUGUUGUGAUGAAA